GAUAUUUUUUGGUACUGAUUUUUGUAAUUCUACAAGGGCAUCCUCCCAUGAAGGCUUGGUUUUACCCUUUAGUGCUCCUGCAACAGUAACAAUUGCAAGUGGAAGCCCCUUGCAUUCUUUGGCAACUUCUUUUGCUACUUCAGAAAGAGAGGGAUCAUCAGCUGAAUUACCAGCUUUCUGCUUAAAAAGGAUCCAUGCUUCCUUUUUAGAUAAGAUUUCAACAUCUACUAUCUUUUGAGCCUCCAUAUCGUCACAAACACCUCGGAGACGCGUCGUCAAUGCCACUUUGCAUUGAUAGUUGUGGUCGCUGCCACUGGGAAUUCCAACCCUCUUUAGAUCAACCUUCUUCCAGACAUUAUCCAAAAUUACAAGGACGCGACUGCCCUUCUGCAUUAACCUUGCACGCAGCCGAUCUUCACGCUGCAACAAAUCGUCCCCUUCUAAUAUUAGAUCGAUUGCUCUGGCGAUCUUACCCUGUAUUUUUUUAAUGUCUGGUUGUUGUUGACGAACAGUUACCAUGACAACAUCAUUAAACAACCCUGCUUGUUUUGCCCUUGCUCUUACUUUCUCAGCCAGUGUUGUUUUACCAACACCACCCAUACCACAUAUUCCAACAACAGUAAUCCCCUCAUCUCUCAAAGCUUCCAUGACCUCUUCCUCCUUCUGUUUUCUGGAGUCAAACUCCUCAUUACUGUUACUAGGCAUAGCUUCAAUUUCACCAGCUGGUACAGGAUUGCUGAAAACAGCAUACUUGUCACCUUCAUUUUGAAGUUUAAUCACAUCCAGUUCAAUUUUCUUAGCUUUCCUGCUCAGGGAGUAACGUGACUUCAAGUUUGGACACCAACCAUUGAAGCAACCUCUUUCAACCUCAACUCUAUGUCGUAGUAAAACCACCACAUCAGCAGUAGAGGUAUCUACACUACUUAACCAAUCCUCAACAUUGGGUGAAAUGACUUGUAAGUUUCUCCGGUCAGCCUCCGCUCUUUGAUGCACCCCAAUUCUGGUGUUCUCCAGCUUUUUAGAUUCUUCUUCCAGAGAUGUGAUGUUUCUCUUGUAAUAAUAGAAAUAUCCAAUUCCUCGCACGACUGGCGGGAUCAAGCAAGCUGUGACUUUGUCCACAAAUAUAGAUAAGAUUUCCAUAGCUAUCUCCUUAUUAAUUCUUCACUGGCUAGUGUAACAAAGAAAAACAGACUCCUGUGUCUGAACUCUAAUAAUUUUUUUUUUUUCCUUUAUCUGUUUUGAUAAUUUUUACUAGAGUUUGUAGUUACAAGGAAGCAAAGGUAGGCAAAGAAAAUGAAAAAUCAGGGGAAUGGUUGAAAAAGAAAGAAGCCUGGGGAUAAAGUGAUGAGGCCGAGAUGAAAAUGAAAGCUAAGGGUAAUGGAACAAAGUGAUGAAAAAUGGUUGGAGUAAGAAUCGAGAGUGAAUACAACAGAGGAUUAUAGAGUAUUGAUUAAGAAGAAAAGGGAACGGUUGGAUCAGAUGAAAAUGACAGCUGAGGGAUGACUUCAUUUAUAGACACUCUUGGGUGAUCUCACAAUAAUGUUAAUUAAAUAUUGUAUUUAAAAGUUGUAUUUCACAUAAAACUAAGAGCAGCUUCCUGCACUUGUGUCUUGGAGUGGUUCCAUAGUUGUUAACUUUAAUAAUUUUACUUUUGAGUUUUCACAAUAAUACUUCCAAGUUGUUCGUAUUAUAACCAACAAGAAUGAGAAGAAUGACAACAACUGGUUUAGUCCUGGAAAUAGCUAGAACAAUCCUCCUAUUUGAUAAAUAAAUGCAUAAAAAUAUUAUCCACCAAUCCACUACCAAUUUUCUGGAGUCAAACUCCACAGACAUGUAAAGAGUAAAUUCAUGUGCAUCUUGCAAUAUGCAUUGUGGCCUUUAAUUUCUUGUGAAACAACUUGUUCGAACACAACCAACUUGUUUACUUGAAUAGGUGUUCCGCAAUACAAUAAAGUAAGUGGUGAAGUCUACAAUUUGACCAAAAAGAAUACUCCCACCGCUUCAAUUUAUUUGUUUGGUUUUGACUUUACACGAAAUGGUGUAAAUUUAAGAGGACUUUUUGAACUAGAUAAUUUGACCAAAAAUAAUGUUAAAAGACAAGCCAUGUUAUACAUAAGACAUGGUAAACGCUUGUGUUAAUUAAAUGUUACUUCACACAAAACUAGGAGCAGCCUUCAUAGUUGUUGACUUUAAUAGUUUACUUUCAAAUUUUCACAUAUAAAACCCCCACUUGUUACCAAUUUAACAUUUUGGAAAGAAAAAAAUGUAUCAAUAAUUUCAUUUUGUUCCUAUUAUAACCAACAAGAAUGAUGUUGUUACAACAACUGGUUUAGUACAUAAAGCAUAAAGAAGUCCCGAAAUAGCUCAUAUAUUAGGAUUUUAGUGCACUGAAUCAAACAUGCAACAAGAAAUAAUCUUUGUAUUACUAAUCCUUAUAUAACUUAUUCUUACAUAACUAAUUGCCGCAUUAUGAUUCAUGUAUAACUUAGUCUUUGAACCAAAAUGUCCACUUUCUGUUAAAACUUAAAAGGUGGGAAUUGAUGUGCUUGUGAUAAUAUCUUAAUGCCAGUCAUGGUAAAGCCAACUUGUUUUCUUGAAUACGUGUCAAAUAAUAAAAUAAAGCAAGUGGUGAACUCCAUAAUAUGACCAAAGAUAAUUUUAGAUAAGCCACGUUAUAUAUACCUACAUAAGAUAUUCUUGAUCGUUAUUAAAAAGAGAAGAAAUUUAAAUUAUCAUUCUGUCAUCUCUGUGGUUUUCUCCCUUAAUAUAUGAGUGACAGUGGCCUUAGAAAAAGCAUUACAUGGAUGAUACCAACGAUAAAAAAGUUGACUUCAUGUAUCAAAAUCAUACAGAAAAAAAAAAAAAAGAGUUGGUCCAAUUUUUUGGAGACACAUGUGAUCAUAUGCCAAUGUUGCUUAAUUCCAGUAUCACAUGGACAACUUGUGUCAACAGAAAGAUUUACUACUCGAAAAGAACCGUAAAACCAAUUAUUUUUCAUAUGCAGAUAGGAGAUAUGCAUACAUCAGGAACCGCGGUUAGAAGUGCUCAAGUUUGGAGUAACCAAUAUAGGCCUCUAGAGACCAAAGUAAAUACAUUUUAUAUAUGAAAACAAAGAUUUGGUGAUAUAACAUGCCUUUGUUCAUUAAUCAAGAAACAUACCCGAGUCCCAACUCCAUUAGGUUCCCUUAAGCUUUGAUGAUCCUACAUGCCUUUAUUCUUUAACAAAUAUUUUUAGAAUAUAUUUUUCUACUUUCAUAACAAACACAAGAAUUUAAAUAAGAAACAACUUAUUUUCCUAAAAAAUAUUUUCCUCCUCCAUACCCAACACACCCUAAAAAAAUAUUUUUCAGGAUCAAAAAUUAUUUUCUAAAAAGUAAUUUCUACUCUUUAGCUAAACAUUAAAAUUUAUUUUCUGAAAAAUAUUUUUCAUUCACAAACCAAAUAUAAAAAAUAAGUAAGAAACCAACUUAUUUUUCAUGAAAUUUUUUAGGAAAAUAUUUUUUACUCACCAACCAAACAUAAGAAAAAAACUAAAAACCAUCUUGUUUUCCAUUAAAACAUUUUCUAGGAAAAUAUCAAAUCAAAUACGUCCUUAAGUGAUAAUUCACGCUUAGUUUGAAAGUGCUUCCACUUCAAUCUAACUAUUACUAUUACUCUUAGCUAGUUAAAUGAGAAAGAGAGCAGUAGACCAGGGGUCUAUUAAUGCAUGGGAUGCACAAAUAUAUAUAGCAUUUAGUUAUAAAGCGGCACAAGACAAACCUUAGAAUUGAACAUCUCUUUGUUGAGGUCAACAACUUUCAACUCAUCAUCAUUGUUCACGCUUUCGAAACUCAGCGUACUCACAGUUCCCUGUUGGAUAAAUGUCUUCAUUUUAGGGCAUUCAUGAAUAUGCACUUCUCUGAGGAAUGGAAGUUUAAGAGAUUGCUUAGUCUGAGUGAAAUGCCCCAGCUUUGGCAGAUCGUACAGUUUCAACUUAUCCAACACGGGAAAUAAGGGGUCAUUACACAUGAUUUCAUCUCCUUGUUGUUCUUCUUCUACGAUCACUUCUUCCAUUGAUCGGCAUUUUUCUAUCCGUAGUGUUCGGAGAUUCAGAAGGCCUCUGGCCACUGAUGGAGACAUCAAGUUUCUCAGUUUUUCACACCACCCUACUUUCAAGGUUACAAGUUUGCUGAAGUAGACAGUUGGAAGUUGGUGAGAAAACAGAGCAGUUAUGCUGUUUGCCUCAUCGAGUUUUAGCACUUCCAGGUUGGGACAAGAAACCUGCAAAUGUAGCAUUUUAUAUAAGGGAUGAAAUUUCAGCAGUGCUUCAAGUACAAAACGGAAUAUGAACCAUAUCUCAUCUUACAUCUUGGUAACAACAGGUGAAAAUCUAAUUACUUAAAGAAAUGCCCCAGCUUCAAGUGACAAGCAUAAACAACUAUCUGAAGAUUACUAGUAUUAUUAUUCGCAGGUUAAAACGGGAAAAAGAGAAGUAGACCAGGGCUGUAUUAAUGAAUGACACAGAUAUAUAGUUAGACCGCGGCACAAGACAAACGUUAGAAUUGAACAUCGUAUCAACUACUUUCAGGUCAUCAUCAUUGUUCACACUUUCAAGACUCACUUUCAAGACUCGGUGUGCUGACAGUUCCCUGUUGGAUAAAUGCCUUCAUUUUAGUGCAUAUACUAAUAUCCACUUCUUUAAGAAAUGGAAAUUCAAGAGCUUGCUUAGUCAGAAUGAAAUGCCCAGCUUUGGCAGAUCGCGAAGUUGCAGCUUAUCCAACACGGGAAAUAAGAGGUCAUUACACAUGAUUUCAUCUCCUUCUUGUUCUUCUUCUGCGAUCACUUCCAUUGAUUGGCAGUCUUGUAUCCAUAGUAUUCGGAGAUUCAGAAGACCUCUGGCCACUGACGGAGACAUCAAGUUUCUCAAUUUUCCACAAUUAUUUACUUCCAAUGUCUCAAGUUUGCUGAAAUAGGCAGUUGGAAGUUGUUGAGAGCAUAGAGAACUUAUGCUGUAAGCCUCAUAGAGUUUUAGCACUUUUAGGUUGGGACAAGAAACCUGCAAACAUUGACAAGGUGUCAACUCCAUUUCUGAUGUCUUGUAAAUAAUUACUAAUAAAAUUCUUAUUUCUGGAAUGUGUCUUAUAAUUACUAAUACAAUAUAUAAAUUAGUUGAUUUGGUUUGAUUUUAAUAAAAAGUGAACCAAAACGUUCCAUGUACAUAGAGUUUCUAACGUGCAUUUAAAAUAGAGGCAUAUUUUUAAUUUUAUUUUUAAAAGACAAUAAUUUUUUUAACCCAACCCUCACUCCCCUACUCCAACCCCCAACCCCUACUAGCCCCCCCCCCCCCCCCCCCAAAAAAAAAUAAAUCUUACAUUUGUUUUUUAAAAAGAAAUUCAAAGUUUUUUUCUUAUCCCACCUCUACCACCUAUUCUGACACACACACCUACAAACCCCCUUGUCCGAUACAUAGCUCUUCCAGGUUGGGACAAGAAAUCUUCAAACAUUGACAAGGUAUUAACUCCAUAUCCGACGUCUUUCAAAUAAUUACUAAUAAAAUUCUUAUUUUUGGUGUGUCUUUUAAUGUUAUUUUAUUAUAGUAAGUUAAAUCAUUGUUAGACUAAAUCAUUAGAUAUCAAUAAAAUGUAACUAUACGAAUAUACAAUAUAUAAAUUAGUUGUAAAAAAUGGAAUAGUUGAUUUGGUUUGAUUUUGAUAACAAGUGAACCAAAACGUCACGCGUACACAGAGUCUCUAACCGUGCAUUUAAAAUAGAGGCAUAUUUUGUAAGAAAUUCCUAAUGGCUACUCUAUUAUACUUCAAAAGAAUUUCAAAUUAUAAGUUAGAAAUAUUUUAUUAAUAUCAAUUAAAAAAAAGGCAAGAUUUAUUAACCAAAAAAUAAAAAAAUAAAAAAAAUAUUCAUACCCCACCCCUACAACCUCCCCCCAAAAAACUAAUAUUUUUAAUUAUAUAUUUUUUUUAAAAAAUAAUUAUUUUCAUCCCACCCUCACUCGCCUACCCCGACCCCCAUCCCUACUAGUCUCCCCCAAUUUUUUUUCUUAAAUUUGUUUUUUUUUUUAAAAUUCAAAUCAUUUUUCUUACCCUGCCUCUACCGCCUAUUCUGACACACACACACACCUACUAACCCCUGUCCGAAAAAAAGUUUUAACUUUUAAAUUUAUUUUUAAAAAAAUUCAAAACUUUUUUUCUUAUCCACUCUACUUAUCUGAUUUGUUCUCCUGUUUUAUGUUAAAAAAUACAAAUAGUUUUAGAAAAUAUUUUCCUACUUUCAUAACGAACACAAGAAUAUAAAUAAGAAACAACUUAUUUUCCUAAAAAAUAUUUUCCUCCUCCACAUCGAACACACCCUAAAGAAAAUAUUUUUCAAGAUCAAAAAUUAUUUUCUAAAAAAGUACUUUCUACUCUUUAGCUAAACAUUAAAAUUUAUUUUCUAAAAAAUAUUUUUCAUUCACAAACCAAAUAUAAAAAAAUAAGUAAGAAACCAACUUAUUUUUCAUGAAAUUUUUUAGGAAAUAUUUUUUACUCACCAACCAAACAUAAGAAAAAAUCAAAAAACCAACUUAUUUUUCAUUAAAACAUUUUCUUGGAAAAUAUUUUCCAUCAUACCAAAUACACCCUAAGUGAUAAGUUGAGAAGCCAAAAAUGCUAUAUAUUAAUACAGAUAAAAAGUCUAUGGAAAAAAGUUAUUGAAUUCACGUGAACCCUUGGAUUAUAAUAUUGUAGAUUCACUUAUGUUUGUUACCUCCAUCAACAUAGGUAUUAGGUGACCAAAACAAAAAAAAAACUAUAUGAAGAUUACUAUUACUAUUAGAUUAAAGAGGUGAAAACACCCCCAAAACUUGACGCGAAUUACUACUCUCAUCCCCGAAAUAUGCCUAGUACUUAAAAUACCCCUAUGCUUGACUAAAUGAACUUAAAAAUGCCCCCUAUUUCUUACCUGAGUGGCAUGGUUUUAGUCUAGAAAUCUUCUAUAAACUCCAAAUCUUUGGCUUGCUUUGUAAUUGUCUGUAGUUUAUUUAGUGUGGGUGUGCUUAAUUAUUGAAUUUGGAUUAGGAAAUUCGUUGAGUUUUCAAAUUCUUUGUCAUCAAGACUAUUAAACAAGCAAUCAAACAUGAUGAUCUGCUUAUGCGGCAUUUUUCAUAAGCACCUCGCGUGCAAAAAAGAGGUUGAGACCACUUGCUAAGUCAGCUGGCUGAUCAUGGGCGUUUUUAAAUUGAUUUAGUCAAGUCUAUGGAUGUUUUAAAUACUAGGCAUAGUUCAAGACAAAAAUAAUAAUUCAAGCUAAGUUUGGAAGUGUUUCCACCUCUUCACUCUAACUAUUACUAUUUGCUAGUUAAAUCAGAAAGAGAGCAGUUGACCAGGGGUCUGUUAAUGCAUGACGCAAAUAUAUAUAGCAUUUAGUUAUAAAGCGGCGCAAGACAAACCUUAGAAUUGAACAUCGCUUUAUUGAGAUCAACAACUUUCAGCUCAUCAUCACUGUUCACACUUUCGAGACUCGGUGUGCUGACAGAUCCUUGUUGGAUAAAUGCCUUCAUUUUAAGGCAUACACGAAUAUCCACUUCUUUAAGAAAUGGAAAUUUAAGAGCAUGCUUAGUCAGAAUGAAAUGCCCCAACUUUAGCAAAUUGUGAAGUUUCAGCUUUUCCAAUCGGGGAAAUAAGGGUUCAUGACACAUGAUUUCAUCUCCUUGUUGUUCCUCUUCUGUGAUCACUUCUUCAAUUGAUUGGCAGUAUCCUAUAUAUAGCAUUCGGAGAUUCAGAAGACCUCUGGCCACUGAUGGAGACAUCAAGUUUCUCAGUUUUCCACAAUUUUCUACUUCCAAGGCUUCAAGUUUGCUGAAGGAGGCAGUUGGAAGUUCGUGAGAGCACAGAGCAGUUAUGCUAUUGGCCUCAUAGAGUUUUACCACUUCCAGGUUGGGACAAGAAACCUGCAAAUGUAUCAUGGGAUGAAAUUUCAGUAGUGCUUCAAGUACAAAAUGGAAUAUGAACCAUAUCUCAUCUUACAUCUUGGUAACAACAGGUGAAAAUCUAAUUACUUAAAGAAAUGCCCCAGCUUCAAGUGACAAGUAUAUACAACUAUCUGAAGAUUACUAUUAUUAUUCGCAGGUUAAAACGGGAAAAAGAGAAGUAGACCAGGGGUGUAUUAAUGAAUGACACAGGUAUAUAGUUAAACCGCAGCACAAGACAAACCUUAGAAUUGAACAUCGUAUCAACUACUUUCAGGUCAUCAUCAUUGUUCACACUUUCAAGACUCGGUGUGCUGACAGUUCCUUGUUGGAUAAAUGCCUUCAUUUUAGUGCAUAUACUAAUAUCCACUUCUCUAAGAAAUGGGAAUUCAAGAGUUUGCUUAGUCAGAAUGAAAUGCCCCAGCUUUGGCAGAUCGCGAAGUUGCAGCUUAUCCAACACGGGAAAUAAGAGGUCAUUACACAUGAUUUCAUCUCCUUGUUCUUCUUCUUCUACGAUCACUUCUUCCAUUGAUUGGCAUGCUUUUAUCCAUAGUGUUCAGAGAUUCAGAAGACCUCUAGCCACUGAUGGAGACAUCAAGUUUCUCAAUUUUCCACAAUACCUUACUUGCAAUGUCUCAAGUUUGCUGAAGUAGGCAGUUGGAAGUUGGUGAGAGCAUAGAGCAGUUAUGCUGUUAGCCUCAUUGAGUUCUAGCACUUCCAGGUUGGGACAAGAAACCUGCAAACGUUGACAAGGUAUCAACUCCAUUUCUGACGUCUUGCAAAUAAUUACAAAUAAAAUUCUCAUUUCUGGAAUGUGUCUUUUAAUGUUAUGUUAUCACAGUAAAUUAAAUCAUUUUUAGACUAAAUCAUUAGAUAUCAAUAAAAUGUAAAUGUAUACGAAUAGACAAUAUAUAAAUUAAUUGUAUUAUCCAUUUAACUAUGAAUUCUACCACUCUAUUUCUAAUAAAAUGGAGAAAUUAAUAAAUAUUCUACUUGAGAAACUGUCAAAGAAAUUAUUUUUUCUUAAUGAUCAAGUAGAACAAUGGAAACACAUUGUUUCAUCAAAAAGAGGGUGAAAAGGGUCAAAUUGAGAUGAUGUAUUAUUGGUAAGUUUUAAAACUGAAUCAACUCUAUCAGUUUUUGGGUUUUAUAAUGAAUUUUAUAUAUUAUUAAAAUUUGGUCAAGUUUGAAUACGUACAUCAUUGCAAAGUUAUUAUUAGACUUUAAAAAAUAACUACCAUGUGUUUAACACUAGAAUUUAAGUUUUGUGCACUAACAAUGUACAAAAUAUUCUACACUAUCAAUGAACUUAACCUGCUAUUACAGGUUACUCAAAUUUUUGUUUUUUUUUUCAAUUUCUAUGAAAAAAAUUGAAUAACGUGCAAUAGCAAAUCAAGUUUACAUAGUGUAAAAUAUUUUGUACACUAACGACGCACAAAACUUAAAUUCUUAACAGUAUAUAUGUAUUUGUCAAUUUGUCAGUUACCACUAAACUUUUAUUGAUUUAUUAAAACCUUAUCUAUAACUCCAUAAAAUUGAGAUUGAAAUAAUGUUCAUGUGACAAAAGAAUGAAAAUCUUCGAAAAAAUUAGUAUAGUUGAUUUGGUUUGAUUUUGAUAAAAAAUGAACCAGAGUGUCUCAUUGUACACAUAGUCUCUCUAACCACGCAUUUAAAAUAGAGGCAUAUUUUGUACGAAAUUCCCAAUGGCUACUCUAUUAUACUUCAAUAGAAUUUCAAAUUAUAGGUUGAAAAAUACUUUAUUAAUUACAAUAAAAAAAGCACGAUAAAGAACUAGGUAUGUCGUUGUAUAUAAUUUAAAAAAAAAAAGACAUUCUCUUAUAUUAUAAGAGGGAGUGAGCAGCUUCUGAUCGUCCUGCUUGUCGACCAUUCAGUUGUUUGCUCCAUGAUUUUUCUAUAUCACACCUAAUUAAUUAUUAUAUACCAUUUACGUAUUAGAAAAUUAUUAAUAUUUAAUAAAAAAAAGUAAAAUAGAUAUUUAUGACUUGUCUGCUUCAACCGUAAUUUUACCAUAUCACCCUAAUUAAUUAUUAUAAAGUCAUCUAAGUAUUAAAAAUUUUAUUUUAAAAACUUAUUACAAAGUCAUCUAAAUAUUAAAAAAUUAAUAAUAUUUAAUGUUAAAUUAAUGUGAUGUCUUAUAUGAUGCCCACUUAACUAUUUUUUCACGAGUAUUUUUUAUAGUAAUUUUGUUAUAUCACUUAUAAUUAGCUAUUUUAAGUCAUUUAAGUAAUGUAUGCUUCGAUGCUUCAAUCGUGAUUUUACUAUGUCACCCUAAUUAAUUAUUAUCGUCAUCGAAGCAUUAUGCCACUUAAACUGUAAUAGAAGAAAAAAUAUUAUAAAUCACAAGAAGUAAGAAAUUGAAUUAUUUAAAAAUAUAAGUGACUAUCAAUGCCACAAAAGUUUGGAUAAGGAGAUUAACAUAUAUUAUUUGAAAAUUAAAUAAAAAAAUAUUAUAAAUUAUAAUACUUAUACCCUUAAAAUAUUUUAAAAAAAAUAAUCUGCUAUAUAUUUCAAAAAAAUAAAAAAUACAUAAAAAAAUACUAUAGAUCACAAUAAUUAAAAAUUUAUAAAAUUUAAAAGAUACAAAAUAUUUGGUUACUCUCGAAAUUAUAUCAGUGCCACUUAAAUUUAAAUAGUUAAAAAUAUAAUUGAUUAUCGACGCCACAAAAGUUUGAACAAAGAGAGUAAUAUAUUAUAAAGCUAAAAUAUAUCAAUUCAUAAAAACCCUUCAAAUAAAAACUUUUUCAUGUAGAAGCAAACCUUUUCAUUAAAAAGAGGAUUUGAGUUGGUGAUCGCAUUGUUGGCUGUUGGCCAGAAAUUUUGGAACUCUCGUAAUUCCUUCAAAUGCAUUUCCCGUAACAGAGAGAACUCAAUGCCCUCAACAGUGUCACUGCAAAAGUGUGUGAAGCAGUCCAGAUCAUCAAGUUUCAAGCUAUGUAAAUUGGGGAACUUGAUUACGUCGGGUAUGAUAUGUGUCCUUCGAGAGAUCCCCUCUUCUUCGUCAUCUGGGCAAGCCAAGGACGCACGAAAAAGAUGACGUAGGUGAUCACAAUAGCUUACCUCCAGCUUUUCGAGUUUGGGGAAUGGAAUGUUAUUCUGACAGUGGAUAUUCAAUGAAUCACAAAAAGCCAGCCUGCGAUCUUUCACAUUCUGCAACUCGACCACUACAUUCUUGGAGCCCUUUCCUCUUGAAUGUACAACUUCGCUAUUCCUCAACAGGAGGCGGAUCCAAUCACCCAAUUGGGUGCCCUCGGUGAUGUCUAGAUUGAUAGCCUUGUUGUAAGUUUCCAUGAAUGAAGUGAUCGUGUAGCGUCCAUUCACGUCAAGAGCAUACCGUGUCAACUUGGAGGAAAGGCCCAAGUUACUGUAAAUCACAUCUUUAGAACAUCCAUCUAAGGUCAGUGCAGUCAAUCUCGAUAACGAUUCCAGCUCCCUCAAGGUGGAGUAACUACAAUCUUUUACUCUCAUCAUAUGUAGUUCCUCCAAUCGAACUAGUCUUGAUAAGACCCCUGGUGAAAUCCUCAUACGUUUUCUGUAACCAAUAUUCCAAUACUCUAACAUAGUUAGAUUGGCCAAGUUUCCGAUCUCCACUGGAAUCUCCUGUAAGUCAGAACCUCUGAUGCUGAGAAUUUCUAAAGUGACAAGUUUCCCAAUAAUGGACACGUCAUCCAGCCUUAGAUUACUCAGCCAAGGCGUGCUCAGAUUUGACAACCUCUGAAUGGAUGAUGGAAAGGGCAGAAUGGAGUUUCGACCAUAUCCACUCAGUUUUAUGACACUGAGUUCACUCAUUCCAUCAAAAAAAUCAUCCUGUAAUAUGAAGCCCUCUUCGAAACAGAGUUUUAACAUCAGAAGCUUCAGUCGUGGGCAAGAUAUUGGUAUGGGACGCUCAUCAAAUUUAUUUGCAACAAUUGACAUGUGACUGUAUUGCUCGUAAGAGUCUUUUCUCGGGAACUCCUCUGAGUUUACGUUGUGAUUUACCAUAAACUCAUGUUCCUCAGAUGCAAUAUGUAUAGCCAUGUCCCGGACCACAUCAUGCAUUUUGACAUAAUUUUUGUUUGAACCUUGGGAUAGCAAGAAACAAUUUUUCAAUGUUUCUAACAGAUUAGACACCCUAUUUCUUGCACGUUCUAAAUUUUUGCAUUCCGAAAAGAUUCCAAGCCCCAUUCCAUAUCUAAGUAAUUCUUCAGUCCAAAUAUCACUAUCCUCCUCAAACAAGGAACAAAGCAAAAAGACAACCUUGGCUUCAUCACUCAAGUGAUUACAGCUUGUCUUCAGAGGUUGAUACACCUCUGUAAGCACUCUUGGGAUAUUUUUUGGUGCUGCUUUUUGUAAUUCUAAAAGGGCAUCCUCCCAUGAAGGCUUCGUUUUACCCUUUAGUGCUCCUGCAACAGUAACAAUUGCAGGAGGCAGCCCCUUGCAUUCUUUGGCAACGGCUUUUGCUAUAUCAGGAAGAGAGGGAUCUAAUAAACGGCUUUCUGCCUAAAAAGUACCCAUGCUUCUUGAUCAGGUAAGAUUGCAACAUCUACAAUCUUUUGAGCAUCCAUAUUGACA
rnacentral:lncRNA from 1 species